CCAGCCGGCUUUCCAGGGUGUUGGAAACCUUUAUUUUACGAUCCCCAUUAUAGAUCUCAACUCCACCAGCUCUGCAAAGAACAGAGAAGAUAACUUUAGAGUUGAGGAAGGCAAACACCAGUCAUACCGAUUUGCCCCCGGAAGGCUAUUUAGGUAUAUGGAGUAAGCAACGUGAACAGCUGCCUUGAAAUUCAUCCAGAACACUUCUAAGGAUUUAAGUGGAACACAACUCUUUGCACUCAGUAACACCAGUGCAUUUGAUGAUGGGGUGAGGCCUUGGCCCUUGUAGGGGACACUGCACUGCAUGGACGUUCAGAACACAGCUGGCCCCAGACUGCAGGGACCCUGUUCCACAGGAGCCGACGGUGCUGGUGGAUGACACAAGACAGACACCAGACAGACACUUGACACACGCAACACGGAGAGACUUCAGCCUCGUCCAGGUCAGGAGCUCCUAACUCUGCCCAGGUGCAUCAAGGUGGGUGGGGACGUGAGUCCAGGACCAUCAGCUCCUCAGUCAGUACCAGUACCACUGUCAUGUGACUCAUUAUUAGGUACAUGUAAUGACUACUGUUUUUCUGUUUUAUUUUUGGUGCUGUGGUUCAAACCCAGGAGCUCACCAGUACUAACCAAGGUACCCAAGUCUUGUUUCUGACAAUUCCUUAGGAGUAGGGAUUAUCCAGCAUUCGGAGGCUCAGGAAAGAGGAUCAAGUUCAAGGUCAGGGAACAAGACUGUCUCAAAGAAACAAAAACUAAGUCAGGGGUGGUCACACACACUUGUGAAUUCCAGCACUCUGAGAGGCUGAGGCAGGGAAUGGCAAGUUUGAUCCUAGCAUAGGCAACUAAAUGAGACUAUCUAAAAACUGGGGGUGGGGGUGGGGCUGGGGAUACAGAUCAUUGAGAAGCCUUGGGUUCAAUCCCCAGCACCACAAACAAAACAAACAAAAAAAGAAGUAAGGAUUAUCUCCUUCAGCAUCCAAUACAGAGAUCUGCACUACCACACAUUUGCAUCCCUCAACUCAAAAUACACUUUUUUUGUGUGUGUGUGCCGGGGAUCGAACUUGGGACCUUGCGCUUGCAAGGCAGGCGCCGGAACCACUGAGCUAAAUCCCCGGGCCUCAAAAUACACUUUUUAAAAAGUCCAGCCAGCACUUGGGAGGCUGAGACAGCGGAGUUUGAGGCCAGCCUGGG